AUUUUGUUAGUUUAAAAAAAUAUUGAUUUGUGGAAUCAAAGAUGAGUGAAUCUCACAAAAUU
rnacentral:tRNA from 1 species